UCCUCUAAAAACUAGGUGCGUCUUAUGGUCAGGUGCGUCUUAUACAGCGAAAAAUACGGUAGUUCUAAAGCACCAACUAGUUCCAUGUCCAAGCUGCUUCCCCCCUUUUCAUGAUUUGCAUUCAAUUGAUGGGGAAAAAUCGCUUUUGAAAAGGAGAAAUUCUCAGGGGUUUGCAACAGGGCUUUUGUGCUCACAGCAUCUAAAAUAUUCUGUUCCCCACCAGAAUUCUGAGGUGGCUGAGGAGUAUGCGCGCGUGCCCUGUCUUUCCUCAGGCACUCAUCUCUGAACGAGCUCCGUGCAACGGACUCUGUGCGGGGCAGCCCUUGGAGUCUGUUCAGAAGCUGCAGUCGGUGCUGAUUAGUAACAGAGACCAGAAGCUCCAUACACAACACCAAUCCUGACCUGCUGGCACUCAUCACCUCUCUGCUUCUUAGCCCAGUUCGAGGUGUGGUUUUAACCAAUGGGGUUGGACCACAAUGCCUGGCAGAACGUCUCUCCCAGUCACAGUCUACCUGUACUCAAGGAGCAAGAUCUGGGGGCUGCCUCUGAUAGAGUCAGCCGCCCAGUUAUGGACCUCCCUCCCCAAGGCCUGUGUGGUGCCACCUGUGUUAUUUUUGGAACCAGGUUAAGAUUAUCCUUUCUGAGAGGUCAUUUAAUUAGUUUAUGUUAUAUUGGGGCAUUAUGUCAUGUUAACAGGUCUUGUGAUUUGAUUUGAAUAAACUAUUGUAGCUUUUACUACAAUAGUUUGUAGAUUUAUUUGAAUAAACUGUUGUAGUUUUUACUACAAUCGUUUUUUAAACCAGAUUUUGGUUUAAAAUCUGGCCUUUCAGUUUUGUGUUGUAUUUUUAUAAUGUUUAUUGUGAUUGUAUUUUAUUGAAUUCUCACUGUAUCUUUCAUAUUGCUGUGAACCAGCCAGAAAAAAGAAAGCAAGGGGAUGUUUUGCAUAUCUUGCUGAAGGUGAGUCCUACCUGUGAUAACUUCUUGGAGAAUUUCUCCUCAUGCUGGAGAAAUUUGGUGAAAUUCCCCCUCCCUGGGAAAUUUCUCUGUCCACAAACAGGGUAGAGAAUGGCAGGAGGCCAUUUACACCCAACUUUACUAUAAAUCCCUUCAUGAAACAUACAAGAAACGAAUUUUCAUAUAGUAUGUUUUAACAGAGCACUUCAAGAAAGCUUUUCAAGUCCUAAAAUGUUCCUGUUGUGAAAUUCUGGCAGCAUUAGCCUACACAUUGUUAUCAAAUCUUGGCUAUAGUUAAACCUUUAAGGAAAUUAGCAGUGCCAUCCUAUGGACAUCCACUCACAUGCAUAGGAUUGCAGACUGCAUGAUGCAAUAGUACUAAAUUCUUUGCUUUUGGGAACCUAGACAUUCCUGUAGUUUCCAUGUUGGAACUUCACUGUGCAGUGAGACGGCUAGGUCUGGACUUAGGGCUGACACCCAGACAGCUGCAGCCCAGGAGACCUCCGCAUGCCUGCCGAGCGAGUGGCAGGAGAUGGAAGAGCAGCAAACAAGGCCAGCUUCAGUGGCAGCUGGCUGUGUUGACGAAUGCAGGAGAACAGGAGAAGUGAGCAGACUGAUUCAGCCGGACCUGCAACUGCCACCCUGCCUUGGAAUCCCUUUGUUGGAAUUCGUGUGCUUGGGUUGCUUUAUUUGUAUUGCACAAUAAAAAAGAGAGACCCAGUUCUACACUUCGGCCCAGCAUCUCUUCCUCCCACCCUCCCCUCCAUGAGGGAGAGCUGCACUCCUUCCAUUUCAGUGAAACCAGACGGCACAGGAAUUGUGUGGACACAUGAGAACACACACAGGGCAAGCAAUCAGGAAGACUGGAGAAAAGCACGUCAAAACCUGCUUGCUGUACUGCAGCAAAGACUCUGAUGUCCAUGAGCUGCUAAAGAGAAAGAUGUUUGGCUAAGGAUGGACACUGCUAAGACUUCCAUCGGCCUGAACGAUCAAAACAAGCCACCAGGCAACACAACGAGCCCUGCCCGGCGGUGAUUAUGUGCCGUGUGUCAGGAUCCAAGCCGUCCCGUUAGGCGCAUGGCCAUUUCAGAUGCAGAAGAAUUCAUUUUCUUACAAAGGAACAUCCCACCAAGAGUCACCACCGUGUGAAGUCUUGUGAGGAUAAUACGGUGAAGAGGAGGCUCAGGUACCCCACCUUGAGCUCUCUGGAGGAAAGAGUGACGCAGAAAUGCAAUAUGUAAAGCUAACUCUGAUAGCCAUAGCUGGCACUCUCUGCAUGCCAGUAUGUUGUGUCAGGUUUUCUGAAUGACAAGCACUGACAGCCAGUGUGGCGUAGUGCUUACAUGUUGCACUGGGAUGGGGAUUAUGGGUUCUAGCCCCCACAUGGCUCUGAAGCUCACUGGGUGACCUUUGGCCAAUCAGUGACACUCACCACAUCCUACUUCGCUGGGUGGUUGGGAAGAUAAAAUGGAGAGGAGGAAGAUGCUACCUUGGCUCUUGUGAGGUAAAGGUGGGAUAGA